ACGGCCGGGGAGCCCUUCGGUGUGCUCGAUUUGUGUUUCUUUGGACUAACAAAAGUGUAUUUUCCUCGGAAUUUCUGCCACCGAAUCGCCCCGUUUCCUCGGUGAGGGAGGAGAAGAGCAGGUACUUGCGUUCGGGAGAGUUUCCAGCUGCAGACACGCGUCCUGAGUUAAAGGAGAGGCGAUAAAUCCCGUGUGCUGCUGCUGGAGAGACCUCUGAAGAGAGAAACUUUUGUUUUUCAUUGCAAAUUAAAAAUUUUCUUUCUACAGAAAUCUUACAGCAACCACUGUAUCUUAUUCUUUAGAGGGUUUUCUUGCGAUUAAAAUCGAAAUCUGACGAUUUAAAGCUAUUUUGACAGUUUAAAUUGAUUUUGAAGAGGAGGAAGUAACACAAACUCCCCUCUCAGCUCUGAAUAUGGAUUAAGAACCGGUUCCUUUGGCCAUGUGUUUUACCUCCUAAAACGCUAAACUCUGUUGAAAUAGUGUCUCAUACCACCUCCUAUUACUCCUAUUAUAGAGCUGUAAACAAUUUGUUACUGCCUGUGAAUUCAUAAAGAUGUAGCUGUUUUGUUUUGUCUUCCUGAAAUUUCACUAGAGGGUAGGCAAACUUCCCCUGCUGCCUUGUGCUUUUUUCCUUUGUUUGUUUCUCAUGUGAAUUUCUGUACCAGUUAUUAAGUAAAUCGAUAUUUCUUUUUUCCAUGUUGUGUUUCUACUUCCAGUAAACAAUCUCCCAGUACCCUGUAUUACCAAACUGCAGCUUUCUAAACUAAAGCAGCCUUCUAAACUUCUGGUUAUAUUUAACGAUAUUACUUUUGUCUCUCUGGUCAGUUAAGAUGUGGACGGCCUAAUGUAGCUCUUAUGUACUUCUGCUCUUACUGCCUAGAAGUAUAAUCUUGUUGUAUUUUCUGUGAUAGUUACAAAAUUUUAAACAAAAUUACUUUAAAAAAAAAAAAACCGACAAAAACAAACAAACCUCUUACACAGACAAAAAAUUAAAUAAAGCCAGUGCAGUAUCUCCUUGUCUCUCUGUAAGGAAAAAUGAAAGAUAAAAUGAACAACAGGAAGGCCCAUUUAAUGAAAAAAGAAAAGCCCGUUUAAUUCUUUCUCCUGCAUUUUACAGUCACAGUAAGGAGGAACUGUUUUCUUGACAAGAACCACAGCUCUUUGUGAUAACCUGGGUUUCAGUUAGGGGAGUGGUAGGCCAUAGUUCAUCCCUAAGAACCAGGAAGAAUUCAAUCAAUACUGAUGUCUGGUUGGAGGUAAUGAAAUCUGUUGACAAGAAUGGAGCUCUGGAAUAAUUUUUUCAGCAUCUGUACCUGAUUAUAAAGUAUGUUAUCUGUUGACUUCAAUGGUUACUUAAGAAUGACACAAAUACUGUAAAAUCAACCUUGCCCUCCCAUUUUCUUCGACAUAACCAGAUCCAACAUGGAAUUUAAACACUGAAUUCAUGCAGAUACUAACAACCAUGAUUUCAGAUUUUAUGAACGUAUAGUUUUAAGUUAAUGCAAUCCUCUUUUCUCCUCAUUUUUUUUUUUUUAUUUAUUUACAGCCUCUAUGAUAUCAACACUAAACAUGUGUAUAAUGUGAAUAAGUUUGUUUUCCUCAAAAUCAGGCUUCAUUGAGUACAAAAGUCACAACUAAAUGAUGUGAAGAUUAAAUUAGGGAAAAAAAAAAAAUCAACAAUUUGCAUCCUAGAAGAGGAAAACACAAAGCUAAUAUAAGGUUGCAGGAAAAGUGCAUCUGAGUUCUGUGGUGCUGCAGCAGGAAGAUGAUGGAUAGAAGGGUAAAUCCAACUGGAGCUUUCAGAAUCUUGUUUGUAAAAAUUAAGUAACAUUAGAUAUGGACACAAGACUGAAAUAUAUCAGAGCGAAUGUGGAUACUGAAGAAAUAUCUUUAUGAGCUGUCGAAAGUGAAGUAAAAAAAUAAAUGUUUUUCUUAACUUGUGCCCAUAAAUCAGUGAAUAAGAUGUUGUAGUGACUUGGUUGCAUGAGCAGUGCAUAGCAGGACUUUGAGGAGAUAACGUUUAGCACCUACUGGGACAAUUCACUACAUAUCCAGGCAGAGGAGAAGUGUAGAUCACAAGUGACACGCCCAUGACAGGAAAACUGUUCCUGCCCACUCUUAUUUUGAAUUCAUAUACGUUCACUUCAGCCACCUUUAUUUGAGAAGAUUUAAAUACUCCAUCCUUCAGUUGUGGCUCCACAGAGGCCUGAUUCACGUUUACUGGUAGCUGAAAUGGAAGUGUUUACAAUGGUCACCAUCCCAAUUGGGGGAUCCCUCCACUUUUCUCCCGGCAUUUGUUACCCUCUUAUGUUCUCAAUAGAAGCAGCCAAUAAUAUAUACAGCAGCAUCUGAUCUGCAACAGUUGUGGUUUAUCACUCUGAAACCAAAGUGACUUCAGAAAUUUCAAGACACGGGGAUAAGCUCUGCCCUUUCUUUUCUAAUAGCUCUUUAGUGAAGGUAGAAAACAACUUUAGCGUGCAGAAUUGAUACUGGGAACAUGUCUUCUCCACAUGAAAGAAAAACAUGCAGGACCAACGUUUUGGAAAGCUAAGUUGCAUUUGACAGUUAGAAAAAGAGUUUUGUCCACAGUCAGAACAGGUAGGGAAGAAGGAACAGAAAUACGCAGUCAGGCAAGGCAGAAAGGUGGUGAAGGAUUAUAAAGAAGGCAAGAAUGACAGUUUCAGCUCUAGGUGAGCAAGUCUGAAAGGUAAAUAAUCUUAUUUUUGGCAUCAUAGGUGUUUCAGUCAUCAUUCAUCACAGAAAGACUUCAACAAGAAAGCACCCUAUUGACUCUGGCAUGCAUUUUGGUUUUCCCAAUGAGGAGACCAGAGGGAGGUAGACUUCCUCACUCCCAAUGAGGAGACCAGAGGGAGGUAGACUUCCUCACUCAUUAAAAGAGGAGGAGAAUGACAUCAGAAUCUCCAGAGAUACUCUUGGAGAGAGUAAUAUCUGCUACAUCUGAAUGACUUCAGUUUUUCCCACCUUCUGGGCAGUGCAGCAGAUCUCAGUACAUCACAAACCUGCACAAGAUUGCUAUCUGAACACUGCAAGUCUCUUCCCUCCAGGUGCCCAUCUCUGUCCAACUUUUGCAUUUUCGUGUUCAGGCCUCCUGGCGUAAGGAAGGAGAAUUGAGCCACGGGAUGGUGCAGCACCUGAGAGCUAUCAGACAUUCCCAUCUCUGUCUCAGGACCUGCCAGCACUUGCUCCUCAGAAAAUGAGCUUUGGGUUAUAUUUAGAUAUACGUGCAACAAAGCAAGGUAACACGGCAGUUACUCUUCUCAAGCAAUUUUGUUAGGAAGCGUUUGCAUGAGAGCUAAUCACACAAACACGGCUAAUGGCUCUACCACCAGUGUAGAAUGCUCUGAUCAGCUCUUUGCAGGCAACUGGAGGAACAGCAGUGGGUGCGCCUGAGCGGUUUGGCCCCUCUCUUUCCUCCAACAACAAUUUCCAGAGAGAUUUAGGUGAAGGUCCUUACGUGCUGCUUUCCCAUGUACAUGUUCCCCGGGUACGAGGUGCAAAUACUUCCUGCAAUGACGAUUACACUCUUAUUACAAUGUUACACCCAUGUCUAACUUGUCCUCAGUGACUUCACCCUUAUGCAAGUUACAAAUGUAAUAACUCUUGUGAACAAACCGGCCAGCACAGUUUAACAGCUUUUAACCCUUAGCUAAGCAAUUUUAAAGUGGUACCUACAGAACUACAAACUCGUUGAAGUUCUUUGCCUACAUAAUAUCAAUGUUGCUGCUGAUGUUGUUAAGAUUCCUAAAUGUAAUGAGGCCACCAAGAGCUUUUUAAGUCAGUGUACAGCUAAGCAUCUGCAAUGGGCAAGACAAGGAGGGUAGUGCAGUGGGUGACUGUCCCUGCAGAUUCAGCUUCCUGGAAUGUUGCACACUCCUCCUUGUUCUUUUUGGUUUAAGGAUGGGGCACUUAUUGAGGCCUCCCUUUAUCAUCAUCAUGCCGUGUCCUUUUGGAACUGAAAAUUUACAAAUCUAUCCAAAUAGAUACAGAUAUGGCAGUAGAAGUUUCUUUUCAUGGGGAAGGGAAAACAAGCAGCAAAAAAUCUGGAAUCAAAGGUUUUCCCUGAUGCAAUGGGGAGAAAAGAUGCACUAUGCUCCAUACCAUAGAGAACUCCCCUGCACACAUUUGACUAUUUGACACAUUUUUACUUUUUUCACAGACAGUCAAGGAAACAUCGUAUCAGCCAGCUACCAAAGAACAGAAUUAUCAUUGUCUUAAAGUACUUCGGUCUUUUAAAACUAAACUAAGGUAUUUGACAAAAUGUCUUCUGGACCACCCUGGCAUGCUUUGAAUGUAGCCACCAGCCAGAGACUGAGAAUAUCAGGCCUUGAGGCAAGCUGUCUGUGACAGGUAAACAAGAUUAACAGAAACUUGAACAAUUGUGGCUUCUCCCCAAAAUCCUUCCCACGUGGAUUGACAGUGCCUCUCUUCCACCCACAUUUAAUAUCAGUGAAUGCCACCAAGAAAAUGUGCCACCCACUGUCCCUUCAGAGCAGUCUCUCCAGCAGCACUGAAGCCAGACUGCUCUGAGCAGCAAGCAGCCCACACAGAGCAAUGCUGAGCAACCCGCUCUUCCACCCCACAACCCCCUGGCAUUUCUGCACACUUUCUGCUCUCCACCCUCUUCUACCUGUGUGCCUGUGCUCCCUGUGGUUAAGAGCUGUAAGAGCUGCACUGGUGCUAGUAGGGUACAACAUGACCCAGAUGCUCCCUCACGUCCGUCCAGAGUUGUGUUUGACAAGUCAAGGGGUGACCUUGAGACCGUACACACAUACAGAGCAGGUCCAUAGUCCAUAAGACAUGGCUUAGUGGGCAAGGUGGUGAUGGAUUGAUGGUUGGACUAGAUGAUCUUUUUCCAACCAUAAUGAUCCUCUGAUUUUGAGAUCUCUCUGGCUGGAGCCGCCCCAGGUGGCUGAUGUGACAAAACAUGGGGUGUAUUUUUUUGUCAUUUUUUUUGUCAUGCAGCCAGUGACAGUGGCACCCAAACACAAUGCAGUCUGGGCACUUGUAACCACUGAGGGCCGAAACACUGUCACAUGCUGUGGUUUACUGAGAAGUGUGGGGGUCAGUCAGGUCCUGACUCCAGAUAAGGCUUUGUGUCACCAUUCUAGAGCAGGACUAUCAUCAGGUAGCACCUGGAUGCCAGCAACAUAGGCUGGCUUUCUUCCAUUAGAAAUCAGCUAAAUGAUUUUGAAGAGGUAUUCAGUGCUAUGAUGUAGCUUAUGUUUUACAGCCUGUGCUUCCCAGCUGUGCAAGCCAUGUGCUGCUGCCAGAGGGGCACAAUCCCUGGUUAGGAGAUCACCCAGACUAAUAGGAACACCAGUAGGAAGGGCUGGAGCUCCUAUAUUCCCACAGCUAGCAAAUGAGAGCAGACGCUGAGUGCUUCUGCUGUCAGACUGUUAGGAACUCAGGAAUAGGGCAUCAUAGGCAGUUAAGGAUAUGUGCACAGGGCAUGUUUGAGGCCCAGUAUGUUGUGAUUUCCUAUAUUUUGCCUGCAACAUAGUGUAUGCACACUAGUCUGAAAAAGUCAAAUGUAUUAGGCUUAAAUCUUUUGCCUUCAUGACACAGGGCUUUUCUAGUGGGAUGUUUUGUUUUUCUUUCUGUUUUUAACACUGAAAAAGCAGUGAAAUUUUGGCUGAUUUAUACAUGAAAUGAGGAGCAGAAUAACAAGCCUCACUUGCAUACUGAGUUUAGAAGUCAGUAACACUUAACAUUUGGCCUAAAGAGCAGCAAACAGGUCCAGCAUUAAGCAGGUUGGAGCGGGAAUCAGCCAUCUCCAGCUGUAUGGAGGCAGUAAGCAAAGAAAAGCCAGCUGGGUUUUUGGAUUUACCCAAAUUACAAUAGGAGGCACCUGAAAGGAAGGGAGCAUGGUCACAACAUCACACAGCUGUUGAGAAGAGGAUCUGCUGAUCAUCGGAGUGAUUCCUAUGUUAUUGCCUGAUGCUGAGGGAGACACUUGCUCAUGCUCCUUAACUUCAGUAUUGCGUACUUGCAAGGAAUAGAGGAAGAACACAGGGCUUAAAGGUGGAACGUGAUUCUGCAGAUGGUGGCCUCAGCCUGAAGUGGGAGAAAUGAAUGGGCAAGGUGAAGAAGGCAGCCUUGAGAUUCUGCUGUCCUUUGUCAUGGAUUCUAGAUAGAGACUGAUGUUCACA